UACGUGGGUGGCAAGCGUUGUCCGGAUUUACUGGGCGUAAAGAGCGCGCAGGCGGUCGUACAAGUCGCGUGUGAAAGCCCCCGGCUCAACUGGGGAGGGUCACGCGAUACUGUUCGACUCGAAGGCAGGAGAGGGAAGUGGAAUUCCCGGUGUAGUGGUGAAAUGCGUAGAUAUCAGGAAGAACACCCGUGGCUAAGGCGGCUCUCUAGUACGGUACUGACGCUGAGACGCGAAAGCGUGGGGAGCGAACAGG
rnacentral:rRNA from 1 species